GGGGAAUAUUGCACAAUGGGCGAAAGCCUGAUGCAGCAACGCCGCGUGAGCGAUGAAGGCCUUCGGGUCGUAAAGCUCUGUCCUCAAGGAAGAUAAUGACGGUACUUGAGGAGGAAGCCCCGGCUAACUACGUGCCAGCAGCCGCGGUAAUACGUAGGGGGCUAGCGUUAUCCGGAAUUACUGGGCGUAAAGGGUGCGUAGGUGGUUUUUUAAGUCAGAAGUGAAAGGCUACGGCUCAACCGUAGUAAGCUUUUGAAACUAGAGAACUUGAGUGCAGGAGAGGAGAGUAGAAUUCCUAGUGUAGCGGUGAAAUGCGUAGAUAUUAGGAGGAAUACCAGUAGCGAAGGCGGCUCUCUGGACUGUAACUGACACUGCGGCACGAAAGCGUGGGGAGCAAAC
rnacentral:rRNA from 1 species